GGUUAAGCGACUAAGCGUACACGGUGGAUGCCCUGGCAGUCAGAGGCGAUGAAGGACGUGCUAAUCUGCGAUAAGCGUCGGUGAGGUGAUAUGAACCGUUAUAACCGGCGAUUUCCGAAUGGGGAAACCCAGUGUGUUUCGACACACUAUCAUUAACUGAAUCCAUAGGUUAAUGAGGCGAACCGGGGGAACUGAAACAUCUAAGUACCCCGAGGAAAAGAAAUCAACCGAGAUUCCCCCAGUAGCGGCGAGCGAACGGGGAGGAGCCCAGAGCCUGAAUCAGUGUGUGUGUUAGUGGAAGCGUCUGGAAAGGCGCGCGAUACAGGGUGACAGCCCCGUACACAAAAAUGCACAUAUUGUGAGCUCGAUGAGUAGGGCGGGACACGUGGUAUCCUGUCUGAAUAUGGGGGGACCAUCCUCCAAGGCUAAAUACUCCUGACUGACCGAUAGUGAACCAGUACCGUGAGGGAAAGGCGAAAAGAACCCCGGCGAGGGGAGUGAAAAAGAACCUGAAACCGUGUACGUACAAGCAGUGGGAGCCUCUUAAUGGGGUGACUGCGUACCUUUUGUAUAAUGGGUCAGCGACUUAUAUUCUGUAGCAAGGUUAACCGAAUAGGGGAGCCGAAGGGAAACCGAGUCUUAACUGGGCGUUAAGUUGCAGGGUAUAGACCCGAAACCCGGUGAUCUAGCCAUGGGCAGGUUGAAGGUUGGGUAACACUAACUGGAGGACCGAACCGACUAAUGUUGAAAAAUUAGCGGAUGACUUGUGGCUGGGGGUGAAAGGCCAAUCAAACCGGGAGAUAGCUGGUUCUCCCCGAAAGCUAUUUAGGUAGCGCCUCGUGAAUUCAUCUCCGGGGGUAGAGCACUGUUUCGGCAAGGGGGUCAUCCCGACUUACCAACCCGAUGCAAACUGCGAAUACCGGAGAAUGUUAUCACGGGAGACACACGGCGGGUGCUAACGUCCGUCGUGAAGAGGGAAACAACCCAGACCGCCAGCUAAGGUCCCAAAGUCAUGGUUAAGUGGGAAACGAUGUGGGAAGGCCCAGACAGCCAGGAUGUUGGCUUAGAAGCAGCCAUCAUUUAAAGAAAGCGUAAUAGCUCACUGGUCGAGUCGGCCUGCGCGGAAGAUGUAACGGGGCUAAACCAUGCACCGAAGCUGCGGCAGCGACACUAUGUGUUGUUGGGUAGGGGAGCGUUCUGUAAGCCUGUGAAGGUGGCCUGUGAGGGUUGCUGGAGGUAUCAGAAGUGCGAAUGCUGACAUAAGUAACGAUAAAGCGGGUGAAAAGCCCGCUCGCCGGAAGACCAAGGGUUCCUGUCCAACGUUAAUCGGGGCAGGGUGAGUCGACCCCUAAGGCGAGGCCGAAAGGCGUAGUCGAUGGGAAACAGGUUAAUAUUCCUGUACUUGGUGUUACUGCGAAGGGGGGACGGAGAAGGCUAUGUUGGCCGGGCGACGGUUGUCCCGGUUUAAGCGUGUAGGCUGGUUUUCCAGGCAAAUCCGGAAAACCAAGGCUGAGGCGUGAUGACGAGGCACUACGGUGCUGAAGCGACAAAUGCCCUGCUUCCAGGAAAAGCCUCUAAGCAUCAGGUAACAUCAAAUCGUACCCCAAACCGACACAGGUGGUCAGGUAGAGAAUACCAAGGCGCUUGAGAGAACUCGGGUGAAGGAACUAGGCAAAAUGGUGCCGUAACUUCGGGAGAAGGCACGCUGAUAUGUAGGUGAAGCGACUUGCUCGUGGAGCUGAAAUCAGUCGAAGAUACCAGCUGGCUGCAACUGUUUAUUAAAAACACAGCACUGUGCAAACACGAAAGUGGACGUAUACGGUGUGACGCCUGCCCGGUGCCGGAAGGUUAAUUGAUGGGGUUAGCGGCAACGCGAAGCUCUUGAUCGAAGCCCCGGUAAACGGCGGCCGUAACUAUAACGGUCCUAAGGUAGCGAAAUUCCUUGUCGGGUAAGUUCCGACCUGCACGAAUGGCGUAAUGAUGGCCAGGCUGUCUCCACCCGAGACUCAGUGAAAUUGAACUCGCUGUGAAGAUGCAGUGUACCCGCGGCAAGACGGAAAGACCCCGUGAACCUUUACUAUAGCUUGACACUGAACAUUGAGCCUUGAUGUGUAGGAUAGGUGGGAGGCUUUGAAGUGUGGACGCCAGUCUGCAUGGAGCCGACCUUGAAAUACCACCCUUUAAUGUUUGAUGUUCUAACGUUGGCCCGUAAUCCGGGUUGCGGACAGUGUCUGGUGGGUAGUUUGACUGGGGCGGUCUCCUCCUAAAGAGUAACGGAGGAGCACGAAGGUUGGCUAAUCCUGGUCGGACAUCAGGAGGUUAGUGCAAUGGCAUAAGCCAGCUUGACUGCGAGCGUGACGGCGCGAGCAGGUGCGAAAGCAGGUCAUAGUGAUCCGGUGGUUCUGAAUGGAAGGGCCAUCGCUCAACGGAUAAAAGGUACUCCGGGGAUAACAGGCUGAUACCGCCCAAGAGUUCAUAUCGACGGCGGUGUUUGGCACCUCGAUGUCGGCUCAUCACAUCCUGGGGCUGAAGUAGGUCCCAAGGGUAUGGCUGUUCGCCAUUUAAAGUGGUACGCGAGCUGGGUUUAGAACGUCGUGAGACAGUUCGGUCCCUAUCUGCCGUGGGCGCUGGAGAACUGAGGGGGGCUGCUCCUAGUACGAGAGGACCGGAGUGGACGCAUCACUGGUGUUCGGGUUGUCAUGCCAAUGGCACUGCCCGGUAGCUAAAUGCGGAAGAGAUAAGUGCUGAAAGCAUCUAAGCACGAAACUUGCCCCGAGAUGAGUUCUCCCUGAGACUUAGAGUCUCCUGAAGGAACGUUGAAGACGACGACGUUGAUAGGCCGGGUGUGUAAGCGCAGCGAUGCGUUGAGCUAACCGGUACUAAUGAACCGUGAGGCUUAACCUU
rnacentral:rRNA from 2 species